UGAUGUAGUGGUUCAAGCUCUUGGCUUGUCCAAGUAAAGUCAUGAGUUCGAAUCAUGGGAUGUGCAUGUGUGAUAACUAGUAAAAAGAGAGAAAGAAAAGAAAAUGAACAUAAUAGUAAAGAAAAGAAAAAGAACAUAAUAGUGUGUGUGAAGAGUCAUAAAAAAUCUUAAAAGUAGACCAAAUGUGGUUAGAACUAUAUUUUGUGAGAAAUAUGAGACUAGAAACCAAAC
rnacentral:lncRNA from 1 species